AUGCGUGCGGGGGUCUUCUGGAGAGAUGUGCUACUGUUCAUCUUUUUAUACUUGUUGGUUGUUCUAGUGUUUGGAGUUGCAUUCAUCAAGGCGGUUGUGUUGUCAUGGAUUCAAAACCUUCUCCAGGAUGUGCCUCUUCAACUUCUCCUGGAGGACCAACAUAAGAGGAAGAAGCAAGAAGAUUUUGACAAGAAGAGGGCGGCCCGCCUUGAGAAAGGUUCUGAUGUUCCUGGAUCUGUUCAUGCGGCUGAGCUCACUGUUGAGGAAGACGUGCCAUGUGGCAGUGAUGGCACGGUUGUCCCUGUUAAGAAGAAAAUCAAGAAGACCGAUGCAAGGAAGCUAGUAGUUGGCGAAGUUACUCUUUGGAGGAGCCCAUGUGUUUCAAGGCCAGCAGAAGUUGUUGAAUAUGAAGGGCUAGGCCUUGGUGGUACGCCACGCCGUAGUCCUUGUGUGCUUGCCACUGCCGCGCCUACACCUUCUCCGCUUGGUGAUGGUGCAUCUGGUAAGGGGAAGAAAUGCGGCGUGAAGCGCAAGGUUCCACCUACAAAGGUCAGCAAGGGUGUGAAGAAGCAUUCUCAUGUUAAUCCAAAGGACAAGGACGAUGCUGAUUUCAAUGCUGAUGAUGAGGACGACGACGAUGAUGAUGCUACCGCUAAUCAGGUAAUCGUACCCCCUAGGCCCUCGAAUGAUGGUUUCUAUGAUGUUGUUAUGAGGUUGAAGGGAAAGCUUGGGUAUGCUAGGAGUGACGACAUCAAGACAAAGGAUUUGCGGAAUAUCCUCGCUGAACUUGUGAAGGAUGAGACGAAGGAUGAUCUUGCUCCGCAGGUGUUUUACCUUAUUGUUUUCAUGAAGGUGGUUAUCCCUGGAACGUCUACACAAGUGUCCAGGGAGGCAGCAAUGGCCGAGAACCUUGUAGGAAAAGCUCUCACAGGCUGUGCCAUCCCGCCGCUUCUUAUGUAUCUGGACUGCCUUAUCAUUGACAAGACUCCUAAUAUUGACUUGAGGACCCCUCGCAUCAAUUUCAUGGACCAAGCCAAGCUUCUUGAGCUUGAUGCGGCUGACUUGGUCACGAAGGGUGAUGAUGACCUAGACAACUGGGUGUUUAGGAGACUGUCUUGGAAGACACAGGCUGAGGUUGUGUUCUUUAGGGUUAUUGAACGUCCUGUUCUAACUAUGCCUUGUUUUGCCGGCCUAGGGAGUGGAACUUCCGCAAGAUUUGAAUUCUCCGGGGAUGUUAAUACCGCUACCAAUGUUUCGCUGGUUAGGAUUGACAUUCUUCUUGAAACUGUUUUUGGGGAGUUGGCUCGUGUUCCUUCAACUGCUGAGCAUCUUAGUCGCGUUGAUGGGAUUCUUCCUCCCGGACACAGAUUUGAUGCUGAGUCUUCGAAGGAGGUCUUAUCUAUUGAAGCGAGAUUUCUUGAAGAGCUUCGUCAGAGCACUUCCCACCUCCGUACUAGCAUUGGGUUGUUCAAGGAAAUGCAGGAUGCUCAUUGCAAGCCUUUUGAAGAUGAGGCAAGUGUUGUUGUGAGACAGAUUCAAAGGCAGGAUUCUGUUCGUUCGGGUCGUGAAGGAGGCCACGUGGAGCAUACCAAAGAGGUUGUUGAUGAUGAUGCUAGGGUUGAGGAGGAUGUUUUACCUGCGCAUGAAGCUUCUCCUAUGCAUGAGACUGCCCCUGUGCAUGAACCUGCUCCCGCUAGUGGCGUAAUAGUUGGUGAGGUUCAUGGUAGUGAAAAUAAGAAUGAUGAUGUUAGUGUUCCUCCAAAGAAGGUUGCAGACAAGUCUGUCUCAGGCACCGGCUGCUCUGACGGGGUGGACCUGACUGAACCUCAGUCGUCCAUUGGCGCUGAUGUUUCUGAUGCUGAGCAGGGCAAGACAACCGGAGACAUCAUUUUGGAGAAAGAUCCUGUUGAGUCUGCUGUUGAAACUGGUGGUACUGCUGCUGCAAGCCCGGAGAAGUCUCCUACAGCAGAGCCAUCAGUUGAUGUUGAUGCUGUACAUGAACAACCAAUUUUUUUUCUUGUUUCAGAUUCUCCAGUUGCUCCAGCUGCUGCUGGUGUCCUUCCCAAUGACGCUACAACGUCUACUGGAGACGGCGAUGAAGAGACCAAAAGCGAUAGCUAUGAAGAGGAGGUUGAUCAUUCCAGUGCUGCCACUGAUAGCGACCUUGCUGUCGUCCGAAAGAAGGUUGAUGACUUUUAUUACAGUGUAACUAGGCUUAAGAAUAAUCGUUCCAAGAGAUCAACAAUUAUGUUCCAAAACAAGGAGUGUGAAGCUUUUGUUGAAGAUGUUGCAAUAUCUUUUGGUCCUCGUGGAAUGCUUCGAUCUAAUGCGGCUCAGUGUGCACUCUACUGUCUACGUGCGAAGUACCAGGGAUCAGAUAAACUCAUCCUGCCGUAUUGGGUUUGUGACAAGAUUUUCAGAGGUCAAUGUGAUUCCCGUGUGAGGAAGUACUUCAUGGCGAGUGGUCCAGAUAGCAUGGAUGCACAUGAUUCGGUUGUUUUCCCCACUUUUGACCCACCUGAGAUUCCUGCUUCCAUGGGUGGUGUUGGUCAUUGGGUUUCGAUAUUUCUUGACCUGAAGAAUUCAAGGUUCCAUCUUCUUGACUCCUAUUAUGGACCAGACGAUGAACGUGCGAUUGCUUACCCGAAGAAUGUUAAAUGUGCCGCUGGUACUGUUGUUGGUAGAGGUGGGAAGAAUGCUGUCAUCACCAAGAGGAAACCGACAGUUGAGUCUGGCAAUAUUACUUCCUCCAAGAGAGCAUCAAGAUUGCCUUUGAAGUGGCGUUCUCCUGUUGCUCCCCUAGAAAAAUACAGUUACCCUCAUCUAUCCGAGGCCUGGAAGUUGAAACAGUAUGUGCUCAGUGAAGAGGGUUUGGAGAAGUAUUCUGAGACAAGCUACUGCAUGUUUACCAUCCUUGCGAAUGUUUUCUUGAUACUAUUCAAGCCAAUUGGCACAAUGGCGCACUACAGUGUGUAUGUGGUGAAUAGAUAUCGUGGGAGCAUUGACAUCCUUGAUUCACUUUCUUAUGCUAAUAUGGAAACGUUGCGAACGAGUUUCCACGGGGACUGCCAAAAUAUCAUCAAGAGAUUUGUUGGGUUGCUCGAGGAGGUGUACGGCAAGGAUGCAUACAAAGCGAGCAAGCAGCCUAACUGA
rnacentral:rRNA from 1 species